ensembl:snRNA Gm22614 predicted gene, 22614
AUACUUACCUGGCAGGGGAGAUACCAUGAUCACGAAGGUGGUUUUCCCAGGGUGUGCUGACCCCUGCGAUUUCCCCAAAUGCGGGAAACUCGACUGCAUAAUUUGUGGUAGUGGGGGAGCUGCGUUCGCGCGCUC